rnacentral:rRNA from 1 species
UUAUAAGAGACAGCAGUAGCCACGGGAAUACAGAGGGUGCGAGCGUUAAUCGGAUUUACUGGGCGUAAAGCGUGCGUAGGCGGCUUUUUAAGUCGGAUGUGAAAUCCCUGAGCUUAACUUAGGAAUUGCAUUCGAUACUGGGAAGCUAGAGUAUGGGAGAGGAUGGUAGAAUUCCAGGUGUAGCGGUGAAAUGCGUAGAGAUCUGGAGGAAUACCGAUGGCGAAGGCAGCCAUCUGGCCUAAUACUGACGCUGAGGUACGAAAGCAUGGGGAGCAAACAGGAUUAGAUACCCCGGUAGUCCCUGUCUCUUAUAC